rnacentral:rRNA from 1 species
UGGGGAAUAUUGCACAAUGGGCGCAAGCCUGAUGCAGCAACGCCGCGUGAACGAUGAAGGUCUUCGGAUCGUAAAGUUCUGUUGCAGGGGAAGAUAAUGACGGUACCCUGUGAGGAAGCCCCGGCUAACUACGUGCCAGCAGCCGCGGUAAUACGUAGGGGGCUAGCGUUGUCCGGAAUCACUGGGCGUAAAGGGUUCGCAGGCGGAAAUGCAAGUCAGGUGUAAAAGGCAGUAGCUUAACUACUGUAAGCAUUUGAAACUGCAUAUCUUGAGAAGAGUAGAGGUAAGUGGAAUUUUUAGUGUAGCGAUGAAAUGCGUAGAUAUUAAAAAGAAUACCGGUGGCGAAGGCGACUUACUGGGCUCAUUCUGACGCUGAGGAACGAAAGCGUGGGUAGCAAACAGG